rnacentral:misc_RNA from 1 species
CUGAAUCAACUACUAACCCAACAAAAUCUCCAUCCCAACUAACUGAGAUUGUUUGAAAAAUAAUGUGCCAAUUGCAGCGGAAGGAUCUCCUUCAAGCCAAAGUUUAGUCGUUAAGGAGCAGGUCCAGGUUAUGCUACGUGAAAAGAGCACCAAAAUCUUACUCCAAUCCAAAAGUUAAUUGUCAGAAAUAAUGGCACUUUUUUUUAAAGGCAGCGGCACUGUACUUGAGCCAGAUCCAACUGUUUCAGUCACAAGAAAGAAACAAUGCCCAAAAUACAAUAGAAUUGCAAACAUGGAAUCUUUGCAAUAGUCUAAAACUAGAACGAGAAAAUGACUGAAAAUCCAAGAAAGAGAAUAUGAUGAAAAGAUUACCUAUGCAUUGCACUUUAAAAGAUGAGCACUUCCAUAAGGCAUCAUGCGCGAGAACCCAAUAAACCUUGAAAAAUUGUCACGUAGAAGAAGACAAUGGUAACGACCAUCGAGAAAAUGUUACUGUUUGAACAUGAUCCCUUCUCUGUCCUCUUCUUCUUCAGAGCCUUCAUUCGUUUAACUCUUGCAUGCUUCAGCCUUGUAAGCUCAGACAUUUCUCUAAGCAACUUCAUAUCAGCUGCCACAUGCAAUGAUGGACCCUUAGGGGGCAGGGGUGGUUUAGCACUCCUCUUUUUCCUUUUCUCCUUCACCAAUCCAUUCUCUGCACUAAUUUUCGCCAUAUCCCCUUUCUCACAUACAACUAUCUCCAAAUUUUCAAUAGAACUCAAUGUAUCCUCACUUGAACUUGACCCAUCACCACCCCUAGUCAUUCCAAUGGUACUAGGAGAUUCACUCCUUAGUCUAUCGAGCCUCUUGGCCUUUUCACCACUUGAACCCAGCCCUUUAACCACAUUAUCUUCGCUGGAACUCCCACCAAUUUCCAAAUCAACAAUGCUAUUACUUCUCCUAAUAACCAAAUGAUCCAUACAUACCCAAUGUCUGUCCUUUGCCCUUUAACCCUCAGAAAAGCCUACAAUCUAAACUUUUUUAAUGAGAGCAUAACUCACAAAUCCUUCAAUAAUCACAACCCAAACAACGUAAAGCCAUUGCUUUCCCCCUUGCAGCCCACAAUUAAAGCUAAAACCACGAUUUUAAUUGCAGCCAUAUUUUGGCAAUUAAAACUUCGAGAAAGUCAUAAUGUAUGUACUCAUUGCGUCUCCCUGUUAUUGAACAUAAGCCAAAAAGCCCAAGCUUCGUUUAAAACAAAUAAAUAAAUAAAUCUAAAGAUAAUGCAAAGAUCCUUCUGCAAAUUUAGAGAAUCUGCUAUGCAUGAACCACAUCCUCCCGUUUGAUUUCCGAGAAUAUGCAACAAAAGAAAAUAAAUAGCAGUUCCGACGGGUUUGGCAUCCAAGAGAACAAAAGUAUCCACGUAGCGGAAUCAAAUCAAAAGGUACAGGUCUUUUUUUAAAGAUGUAUAAACGAAGCAUGAAAAUAUUAAUUCAAAGAAUGUCGUCAUUAUUUCUCGAGAACCAAGAAAGAAACAAAAACGAAAAAUCACAGAAUGAAAAUGGUGGCAAACUGGCAAUUAGCAUGUACCAUCUCAAAGUCGCAGAGAAUUUUGGACAG